rnacentral:lncRNA from 1 species
UUAACAUAAUUAAUAUUGAACUUUUAAAGUUAAUGUGGCCCCGUUGCAACGCACGGGCGUUCUUCUAGUAUAUAUAGCAGCGCAGUAAUCCGAUCCAACCAAACUGAAAUCAUGAGUAGUCUGCGCAAUAAUAAACUAGCAAGAGAUCAUAAUUCAUAGCUAGGUAGAUGAAGUAAACGACUUGAUAAAUACGUAGAUCUUGGCUUGGACGAUCAGCCCGAUGAGUGAGGUGACCCUGCAGUGGAAUCAACACAACACAAGCAAGAAUUACUUGGUAGUAAGGUUAGAUCAACGCAACGCAAUAGGAACAAAUAAGCACAGAUGCAUAAACAAGAAUUUGUGUGCAGCGCACGCACCUAGCCGAAGUGCGCGCGGGCCUCGGUCGUGGACUGCAGCAGGGCGUCCCAGCCCUGGAUCGUGCCGACGAUGCGCGCCCGAGCAUCGUCGAUAUCGGCGGCGACGAGGCCGG